UUUCCUUCAACCUGUCAGGUUUAUAGUUAAUAGAUUACUCGGGGCCACUUCCUGCAGUUGUUCUUUUGCUGUAUAUGUCAAAACUAAUUAAAUUCAUUUGCAACCCAGAAUGACUUUGUUCUGUCUCCCGCAGUUGUUCUACCAUCUCCAGAGGGAACGCUGCUUCCUGGAACCACGGGCUCGUUUCUAUGCUGCUGAAAUAGCCAGUGCCUUGGGCUACCUGCAUUCACUGAACAUCGUUUAUAGAGACUUAAAACCAGAGAAUAUUUUGCUAGAUUCACAGGGACACAUUGUCCUUACUGACUUCGGACUCUGCAAGGAGAACAUUGAACACAACAGCACAACAUCCACCUUCUGUGGCACGCCGGAGUAUCUCGCACCUGAGGUGCUUCAUAAGCAGCCUUAUGACAGGACCGUGGACUGGUGGUGCCUGGGAGCCGUCUUGUAUGAGAUGCUGUAUGGCCUGCCUCCUUUUUAUAGCCGAAACACAGCUGAAAUGUAUGACAACAUUCUGAACAAGCCCCUCCAGUUGAAACCAAAUAUUACAAAUUCCGCAAGACACCUCCUGGAGGGCCUCCUGCAGAAGGACAGGACAAAGCGGCUCGGGGCCAAGGAUGACUUUAUGGAGAUUAAGAGUCAUGUCUUCUUCUCCCUAAUUAACUGGGAUGAUCUCAUUAAUAAGAAGAUUACUCCCCCUUUUAACCCAAAUGUGAGUGGGCCCAACGACCUGCGGCACUUUGACCCUGAGUUUACCGAAGAGCCUGUCCCCAACUCCAUUGGCAAGUCCCCUGACAGCGUCCUCGUCACAGCCAGCGUCAAGGAAGCUGCCGAGGCUUUCCUAGGCUUUUCCUAUGCGCCUCCCACGGACUCUUUCCUCUGAACACUGUUAGGGCUUGGUUUUAAAGGAUUUUAUGUGUGUUUCUGAAUGUUUUAGUUAGCCUUUUGGUGGAGCCGCCAGCCGACAGGACAUCUUACAAGAGAAUUUGCACAUCUCUGGAAGCUUAGCAAUCUUAUUGCACACUGUUCGCUGGAAGCUUUUUGAAGAGCACAUUCUCCUCAGUGAGCUCAUGAGGUUUUCAUUUUUAUUCUUCCUUCCAACGUGGUGCUAUCUCUGAAACGAGCGUUAGAGUGCCGCCUAGACAGAGGCAGGAGUUUCGUUAGAAAGCGGACGCUGUUCUAAAAAAGGUCUCCUGCAGAUCUGUCUGGGCUGUGAUGACGAAUAUUAUGAAAUGUGCCUUUUCUGAAGAGAUUGUGUUAGCUCCAAAGCUUUUCCUAUCGCAGUGUUUCAGUUCAUUUUCCCUCGUGGAUAUGCUGUGUGAACCAUCGUGUGAGUGUGGUAUGCCUGAUCACAGAUGGAUUUUGUUAUAAGCAUCAAUGUGACACUUGCAGGACACUACAACGUGGGACAUUGUUUGUUUCUUCCAUAUUUGGAAGAUAAAUUUAUGUGUAGACUUUUUUGUAAGAUAUGGUUAAUAACUAAAAUUUAUUGAAAUGGUCUUGCAAUGACUCGUAUUCAGAUGCUUAAAGAAAGCAUUGCUGCUACAAAUAUUUCUAUUUUUAGAAAGGGUUUUUAUGGACCAAUGCCCCAGUUGUCAGUCAGAGCCGUUGGUGUUUUUCAUUGUUUAAAAUGUCACCUGUAAAAUGGGCAUUAUUUAUGUUUUUUUUUUUUGCAUUCCUGAUAAUUGUAUGUAUUGUAUAAAGAACGUCUGUACAUUGGGUUAUAACACUAGUAUAUUUAAACUUACAGGCUUAUUUGUAAUGUAAACCACCAUUUUAAUGUACUGUAAUUAACAUGGUUAUAAUACGUACAAUCCUUCCCUCAUCCCAUCACACAACUUUUUUUGUGUGUGAUGAACUGAUUUUGGUUUGCAAUAAAACCUUGAAAAAUAUUUA
rnacentral:sRNA from 1 species